AUUGAACGCUGGCGGCAGGCUUAACACAUGCAAGUCGAGCGGAGCGGCGGACGGGUGAGUAAUGCCUAGGAAUCUACCUGGUAGUGGGGGAUAACGUCCGGAAACGGGCGCUAAUAACGCAUACUAGCAGAUGAGCCUAGGUCGGAUUAGCUAGUUGGUGGGGUAAAGUCCGACCACGGCGACGAUUCGUAACUUGUGUGAGAUGAGGAUCAGGCACAGUGGAACUGAGACACGGGCCAGACUCCACCGGUAGGCAGCAGUGGGGAAUAUUGGACAAUGGGCGAAAGGCUAGUCCAGCCAUGCCGCGUGUGUGAAGAAGGUCAUCGGAUUUUAAAGCACUUUAAGUUGGUAGGCGUUACCAACAGAAUAAGCACCGGCUAACUUCGUGCCAGCAGCCGCGGUAAUAC
rnacentral:rRNA from 1 species